rnacentral:tRNA from 1 species
UCCCUGGUGGCUCAGAUGGUAAAGAACCUGCCUGGAAUGCAGGAGACCUGGGUUCAAUCCCUGGCUUGGGAA